UGGCUCAGUGGUUAAGAGCACUGUCUGCUCUUCCAGAGGACCUGGGUUCAAUUCCCAG
rfam:Mesocricetus auratus contig170607, whole genome shotgun sequence.